GCACUCUGUUUUCUCUUCAAUUUGUAUACAUCUUUUGUCUUUUACUAAAGACUUCUGUGGAGAGGAGCAUUUAUGAGUCUGUACCCAAUUUUUUGAGGCUUUGUUUUGGUGAGGCU
rnacentral:snRNA from 1 species